rnacentral:lncRNA from 1 species
AUGAUUCACAUUCUGUGGCUUGGUCUGUUCCUCUCCCCCUGCCACCAUUCGCUCGUGCAGUGUCUGGAGUGCAACAGCAUCACACAGUACAAGUGGCCCAGUGCUGGCCCUUCCAUCUGCUGUGACAAAUGCCAGCCAGGUCACAUGAUGAAGAAAAGAUGUCAUGACGGAAUUCCAAAAACUCAAUGCAAGGCCUGUGAACCUAAUAAAUAUGCUGAGAGUCGCAACAUUGAUUUGCAAUGUAAACCCUGUGCAAGCUGCAGCAUGGAAAACCAGGUGAAGCUGGAGGACUGCACACCAACGCAAAAUGCAGUGUGUGGCUGUAAGCCUGGGUACAAGUGCAAAAAUGAAGAAUGUUCAGCCUGCGAGAAGAUCCCAAAAGAGGUGGCCGUCCUUCCUCCAAAGCCCAACACUACCAGACCAGAUCGUACCUCUGAGGGCACGCAUGCCGUGCCAGAAACCAGCCCGCCGAGCAUCACUGAGCUGAGCACACAACGGACCACCUCCAAAAGUCCCCCUGCACCAGACAUCAUGAUUCCAGGAGUACUCUGUGUGUGUGUCUGCAUAUUGCUGAUGGUUCUCACUCUGUCCAGAAGACUGAUGUCCAUUUGUGCAUCGUCCAUAUGCGGUCGAUGGCCUUUGAAGGUUCCAGAUUUUAGUGAUGGGUCUGUGGGAAAACCGGUUCAGGAAGAGAACUCUGACCCACUCAUGCAAAAAUUCCAGGAUGUGUAGCGGCAGAGAAAGGAACAAACUGUCGACGGAACCUCAGGGGAAAGAGAAAAGAUGGCAAUCUCCUAAAUGGAAACCUAGAGCACUAAUUCAUCCAAAGUGAUCCAAGAAGCGAGCUGAAUGAAAGGGAAUUAAUGAACUCAGACUGGUGGGAAAACUGACUGACUGAUUUAACUCCCCACAAAUCAGCUCACUUGUGUACAGAUUAUUUUGGGGGGUUUCUUCCAGGAUCUUGAAGUAACCAGACCAGAUCUGUUUUCACUGACUAGUUAACUCGAUGUUAAAUGAAAAUUCUUUCAUCAUUAGCUUUUAUGGUUCUAUAUAUCCAUUUCACCUAAAAUGGCACCAUGUGCUUCUCUUUCCCACCCCUAGGUAUGCACUAGGUUAUGAUAUUCAACAUAAUAAAAUAUAUGCAAGUUAAGGGGAAAAAACA